GACCUGAAAUUUGGGCUCAAGGAGUCAGCUGUAUCUCCAUUUUCAAUACCAAGAAAAGAUUAUACCUGCAUGUAAACAAUAAAACAAGAACACAUGAAACUCGAAAUAGUUCUGAAAUAAAAUGUGAGCGAAAUCUUUGAUUUGAUUGGUGUGUUGAUUCUAAAGAUGAUAUUCAAUCGAAGAUUGGAAUAAGAUUAAGGUUUCAGGAUCAGGAGGUUUCAUGAAGUAAAAAAAAUUAUUGUUGCAAGGUUAAUUGAAAUCUUUUUUUGAAAAAUAGCAGUCCCCACUUUUUAGGGCUGUAGAUUUGAGCGGGUGGAAAAGGUGGUGGGUUAGAAAUUGUCCUACCAGCUUAGGUUUUAUU